GUGGGGAAUAUUGGACAAUGGGCGAAAGCCUGAUCCAGCCAUGCCGCGUGUGUGAAGAAGGUCUUCGGAUUGUAAAGCACUUUAAGUUGGGAGGAAGGGCAGUAAGUUAAUACGUUGCUACUUUGACGUUACCAACAGAAUAAGCACCGGCUAACUUCGUGCCAGCAGCCGCGGUAAUACGAAGGGUGCAAGCGUUAAUCGGAAUUACUGGGCGUAAAGCGCGCGUAGGUGGUUCAGCAAGUUGAAGGUGAAAUCCCCGGGCUCAACCUGGGAACUGCCUCCAAAACUACUGAGCUAGAGUACGGUAGAGGGUAGUGGAAUUUCCUGUGUAGCGGUGAAAUGCGUAGAUAUAGGAAGGAACACCAGUGGCGAAGGCGACUACCUGGACUGAUACUGACACUGAGGUGCGAAAGCGUGGGGAGCAAACAGGAUUAGAAACCCGAGUAGUCC
rnacentral:rRNA from 1 species